rnacentral:sRNA from 1 species
GCUGCACAAUUUUAGAAGAUAUCUAGGUAUUGAUUAUUGUGUGUGGGAUUAUGUGAUCCUGUGACUAUGCCAUGGACUGUAGAAAAUGUGAACUCAUGCAGGUAGCACUCACCUGUUAAUCAGUAGGCUGUGGAUAAUGUGAACUAAUGCAGGUAGCACUCACCUGUUAAUCAGUAGGCUGUGGAUAAUGUGAAAUAAUGCAGGUAGCACUCACCUGUUAACCAGUAGGCUGUGGAUAAUGUGAACUAAUGCAGGUAGCACUCACCUGUUAACCAGUAGGAUGUGGAUAUUCCAAGGACGGCACACAAGAAAAGUGUCAACACUAGGGCAUUCAUGGUGAAACU